AGGUUUUCUCCUGGCGCAUGGGCGCCGCCAAUCAUUUCGGGGCUUAUUUUGGUUCUAAAGCCCGGGGCAGCCAGGCCUCCCUGCCUGGCCUCGGCGGGGACGCGGGACCUGGGGCCCCGGACCGGGCCUAACCGCCCUGGCCGGUCCCCACUGAUGGUGGCGGUCGGUCCUGAUCGUCCUGAUGGCAGCGACCAGGCUGGACUCGGGCUGUGCAGGGGCGAGGGGAGCAGGGCGGGGUGACGCCCGGAGAGCGGCCUGGAGAGCGCGUGCUUCAGAAGGCGUGGGCACCCUGUCCCCUUUGCAGAUGGGGAUGCAGGCCCUGGUGGCGGUGGAGGGGAGAUGGGGGCAGGGACGUUGCCGGGCAGAGGAAGCUGGAAGUUUGGCUGCUGUAACUGACUGGGAAGCUUAAAAUAACAGACAAUCAUCUCUCACAUUUAUGGGGACUGGGAAGUCCAAGACCAAGUUGCCAUCUGGGGAGGGCCUGUUCCUCACAGCGCCUUCCAGCUCAGGCCUCGUUUAUAAGGGCACUCAAGCCUUCCACGACAACGGGUCCUCAUGACUUACUCACCUCGGAAAGCCCCACCCCCAAGACCAUCACAUUGUGGGUGAUGGCAGAGCAUAAGGUGCCUUCCCCACAUGCUCGGGUUGGCCCAGCGUCUCACGCUAGCAGCUACGUGGAAUAGUUAUUUUUUCUGGAGAACUCUGGGACCCCUCUGAUGUCUUGGAGCACCCACACAGGCCGUUCACUGUGCACGCUGUGAGGCUGUCGUCUUGGAGCACCCACACAGGCCGUUCACUGUGCACGUGGUGAGGCUGUCCUCUGGGGAGUUCUGCUGUUGUAUGGGUUCUGUCUGUGUCAAUGUCCCAGCGGGAACGCAGGGCACACUAGCGUCAUCCCCAGAGGG
rnacentral:lncRNA from 1 species